AAGAAGGGCCGUUUCAGCUUAGAUCAGAAAGAAAAAUUAGCCAGCAAAGAGGUGGGGGAACUGUGUUCCAACUAUGGGGAACAGCGUGUGUGAAGCUGCUAAAGCAACAGGGAGUCUGGUAUUUUGUCAAACUCACAAAGUCCUUCUCCACUCCAGGAUUAUAAAAAGACAUUCUCCCAUGGUUUA